CCUAGUCUAAAAGAAAAGUCUCUAUUUCCUUCUCUUUAAAGAAGUCCGCGAGCGCAAGCUGAUGUGGUGAGAUUCCACAACCGACAGUAUAGUCUGGAUGGGAGAAGACGAAA
rnacentral:misc_RNA from 1 species